rnacentral:rRNA from 1 species
GUCGAACGGUGAAGCCAAGCUUGCUUGGUGGAUCAGUGGCGAACGGGUGAGUAACACGUGAGCAACCUGCCCUGAACUCUGGGAUAAGCGCUGGAAACGGCGUCUAAUACUGGAUAUGAGCUGCGGAGGCAUCUUCGUGGUUGGAAAGAUUUUUCGGUUUGGGAUGGGCUCGCGGCCUAUCAGCUUGUUGGUGAGGUAAUGGCUCACCAAGGCGUCGACGGGUAGCCGGCCUGAGAGGGUGACCGGCCACACUGGGACUGAGACACGGCCCAGACUCCUACGGGAGGCAGCAGUGGGGAAUAUUGCACAAUGGGCGGAAGCCUGAUGCAGCAACGCCGCGUGAGGGAUGACGGCCUUCGGGUUGUAAACCUCUUUUAGCAGGGAAGAAGCGAAAGUGACGGUACCUGCAGAAAAAGCGCCGGCUAACUACGUGCCAGCAGCCGCGGUAAUACGUAGGGCGCAAGCGUUAUCCGGAAUUAUUGGGCGUAAAGAGCUCGUAGGCGGUUUGUCGCGUCUGCUGUGAAAACCCGAGGCUCAACCUCGGGCCUGCAGUGGGUACGGGCAGACUAGAGUGCGGUAGGGGAGAUUGGAAUUCCUGGUGUAGCGGUGGAAUGCGCAGAUAUCAGGAGGAACACCGAUGGCGAAGGCAGAUCUCUGGGCCGUAACUGACGCUGAGGAGCGAAAGGGUGGGGAGCAAACAGGCUUAGAUACCCUGGUAGUCCACCCCGUAAACGUUGGGAACUAGUUGUGGGGUCCAUUCCACGGAUUCCGUGACGCAGCUAACGCAUUAAGUUCCCCGCCUGGGGAGUACGGCCGCAAGGCUAAAACUCAAAGGAAUUGACGGGGACCCGCACAAGCGGCGGAGCAUGCGGAUUAAUUCGAUGCAACGCGAAGAACCUUACCAAGGCUUGACAUACACGAGAACGCUGCAGAAAUGUAGAACUCUUUGGACACUCGUGAACAGGUGGUGCAUGGUUGUCGUCAGCUCGUGUCGUGAGAUGUUGGGUUAAGUCCCGCAACGAGCGCAACCCUCGUUCUAUGUUGCCAGCACGUAAUGGUGGGAACUCAUGGGAUACUGCCGGGGUCAACUCGGAGGAAGGUGGGGAUGACGUCAAAUCAUCAUGCCCCUUAUGUCUUGGGCUUCACGCAUGCUACAAUGGCCGGUACAAAGGGCUGCAAUACCGCGAGGUGGAGCGAAUCCCAAAAAGCCGGUCCCAGUUCGGAUUGAGGUCUGCAACUCGACCUCAUGAAGUCGGAGUCGCUAGUAAUCGCAGAUCAGCAACGCUGCGGUGAAUACGUUCCCGGGUCUUGUACACACCGCCCGUCAAGUCAUGAAAGUCGGUAACACCUGAAGCCGGUGGCCCAACCCUUGUGGAGGGAGCCGUCGAAGGUGGGAUCGGUAAUUAGGACUAA